AUGCUGGUUUUAAGCUUUGGAAGCAAAUUAUCCUUAAUUUCGGUGAAACGAUUCUCGCCUGCACCCCACCGGACACCCACACAGCUCGGACACCAGCAGUGCCCGGCCAUGGCAGCACCAAUCUACCCAGCCAGCCAUGUGCGAGGCGAUCCCUGCGUGGACACACGCCUCUGGAAAAGGAGGAAAGUGCUUCCAGGUGUGGUGCUCAGUCAAAAGGAGUCCCAGCCCCUUCCCCUUCAUCCUCAGUUCCCAAACGGGUGCCCUCAGAUGCUCCCCGGCCGGCUCUGUCCUGCUCUGACUUCUCUCCGAGCCCAGCAGGAAGGGGCUGGCCCGGCUGCUUCAUCCUGCCUGGUUUUAUGGUGUAGAAAUAAGUUAUUUCUGGCUAAAGACUUUCACUGCUGACUUCUGCGCUCAGGCCCCGGGGGCAUUUUUGGGAAGAGGCACUGCAGCGUGGUGCGUUUGACUUCUGGCAAGGCCCUCUCCUCUAGAAAAUCAGCAAAGCCUUGAGCUGGAAAUACUGGGAGUGUCUUGGAAAGAUGGGAUGGGGCCUGCGGGUUCAUUCCCUGCACCCCAGCCCUGUCACUGUGCCAGCGGGCUCAGCGCUGCCUCUGCCCCCGCGCUCAGCGGGGCCAGAUCCUGCCCACCAAGAAGGGGCCGCACGCAGUGGGGCAGCCCCGCCGCCGCAGCAACUUGGGAUGAGUUUCUGCGAGUCCUCGGGAUCCGGAGCAGGAGAAGAACUUUAUAAAAUUCUCCACGACCAGUCGAGCGGAACCUAUUUUCUCUCACAAUGCAAUUAACGGCACCAACAUUUACAAAAUAUGAUUACAAGCACUUUGGUUAAGUAGAGGAAAGUAUAUUAGAUAGCAGCGAGGGGUUGAUCUUAAUGUGCAUUUUUUCGAGAGACUUGCAUUUUCUUUGUGCAAAUAAAGAGGCCCUAAAUUCUCCAUAGGCACUAAAAUCAAUGCAGUGGAACCAUGAUAACAAACACAGGCUCCACUUUUUGCUACAUCCCCCAAUUAAUUAAGCCUUUCACGGGCAUGUAAUUAGGAACAUUAGCAAGUCAUAAAAUUGCCGUGAGUCUCUAAAUUAUGUGCUGGCCCUCAGCAAUUUGUUUUUAAUUCCUUUUGAAGACAAUGGCACUGCGGGGUCCCAUAGAUCUUCAUAGCAGCCUACUGUUUACUUCUUUAUGGCUCUAUGAAGAUCUAACUGUUUUCUACUGCUCCCAGAUGCACCCACGCUAUUUUCUGGCGCGGUUUCAUUACCUGGGUCGGAUUUAAAGGGGAACGGUGCCCGCCUGCCCCGCGCAGCUCCUGGCCACCCGGGCUCCCCCAGCCAGCAGCCGCCGCUCGUGCGCCUGCAUGGGGACGCCCGCGAGGCCAGGGAGAUGGAUAAAUAAAUGAAGCAGGCUCAUUUCAGGGGAAGGUUUAUUUCCCUGUUAUUGUGAUUUACUCCUCCUUGAUGAGAGUGUCUCUUUCACAGCGGAGGCGCGGAAAAACAUUUGUGCGAUCUCGGGGUCAAGAACAGGAGAAAGAAGUAAAUAGUGGAAGCAAAUUGUUUUUUCUUCCAAAAUAUCCUGGGUCAUUUACAGCUGACGGGUCGCCGCAAUAAUAGCCGGACACGUGCUCUAAUAGCUGGGUUGUUUCCUGAUGGAUACGUGGAGCUGGCUGCCCGUUUUUGGCACGGUUUGGGGUUUGAGGUGCUGGUUUGGUGGGUGGCAGGAGCUGAGCUGCUCCCAACACGCUUCCCACACUCACUGUUCCCCGCUCGUGGUCGAUUAACACUGCGGAAUUACGAAACGGGUUUAAUGAGAAGAAUAAAGAGAAGCUGCAAUAAGAGAGAUGAAGCCUGGCUCUUCCUCUAGGUGAGCGCAGGGACGCUGCGCUGCGAUGCGAUGUGCCGCUCGCUUGCUCAGCUGUGCCACAUGGAAGACGCCGUCCGAUGGCAGGAGAUGGUUGCCUUUGGUGGGCUGGUGGCUCACGGGCACUGCAGGGGGAAGAGGACAUGGGUGCUGCCCCUGUCCUGUCCCCACCCUGCAGUGGGGACACGGGGUUUGAAGGCAGGAGCAGCCUCCUUCCAGCUGGCCUCGGGACUCCAUGCUCCCCCCAGCAUCCUGGUGCUCCCCUUCCUUUUGGAUGGCAGCAAACCUUGGCUGUGAGCAUAGAGAAUGUGUUAUUGCUGGGCAGGGGGACAGCAAAAAGCAGCAACCCAGAAGGAAAAGCAUCCCUCCAGUGCUUUGCCGUCACUGCCACUUUCAUUGCCCAAUUAAGCUUUGUUUUGGGGCUGGCAGGAAUAUCAAACUGAGCAAAUUAUAACACUGCAGCUCCAGGACAGAGGGUAUAAAAGUGGGUUGUUGGUUUUUUUCAGUAGUCAGCAAAAAAAGAGAAAAGGGGGAGUAUUUGCAGUGAUGUACACGGGAACAGUUAGGAGCAAGGUGGAUUAAAGGAUGCCUGAGCUGCAGAGGAGGGGAGCUCACCAGCUUCUCUUUAAGAUCAAUUUUAAGAUUGCUCAAUUUUCAGUUCAGUGAAAUCCCGACUCAGGUGGGACUGCAGCGGGCUGCCAGGAUAAGAAGGGCCAAGCUGUUCCCCGUGGCCAUUCCCAAACCCGUGCUGGCAGCAGAGAAGCACGCGGGCAGCCUGCUCCAUUCCUGCAAUGGGCUUUGUUUCCCAUCG
rnacentral:lncRNA from 1 species